ACAGCAAACGUGCGACCAACUCUUCGGCUAGUGAAUCUCUAAGCCGCGAAGAGUGCUUUGAAGUAGCUUUAGGUGGAAGAUGUCAGAAAGUAACUCGGCAGAGGGUAGCGACAGAAGCGAGGAGCAGGUGUCUGGUGCUAAAGUCAUCGCCCAGGCCCUAAAAACGCAAGUACGAUGGAUCCCUCGGGUGUGAAAUGCUCUGCUGAAGCAGGCCGGGACCUAGUGUCAUAGAGACGGAGGGCAAGGAGGCGGGGGUCCUGUUGGUCUUUUCUUGGGACCUCCCAAGGACCACCUGACAACCGGCCCUUUUCCAUCCUAUCCCCAGGAUGUGGAGUACAUGUUCGGUGUCGUAGGCAUCCCCGUGACCGAAAUCGCCCUUGCUGCCCAGGAACUGGGCAUCAAGUACAUUGGGAUGAGGAAUGAGCAAGCGGCUUGUUACGCUGCCUCUGCGGUUGGAUACCUAACGGGCAGGCCAGGAGUAUGCCUCGUUGUUUCUGGUCCCGGCCUCAUCCACGCCUUGGGCGGCAUGGCGAAUGCAAACAUGAACUGUUGGCCCUUGAUUGUGAUUGGUGGUUCUUCUGAAAGGAAUCAAGAAGCAAUGGGAGCCUUCCAGGAGUUUCCUCAGGUUGAAGCUUGCAGAUUAUAUUCCAAGUUCUCUGCCCGGCCAAGCAGCAUUCAGCACAUUCCUUUUGU
rnacentral:lncRNA from 1 species